rnacentral:tRNA from 1 species
GGAGGGGUGGCAGAGUGGUUGAUUGCGUCGGUUUCGAAAACCGAAAUGUCCGAAAGGGCAUCGGGGGUUCGAAUCCCCCCCUCCGCCA